GCGGGUCUAGCUCUGUGGUAGAGUGCGUGCUUAGCAUGCAUGAGGUCCUGGGUUCAAUCCCCAGUCCCUCC
rnacentral:tRNA from 1 species